CUCUGUCUGGCUUAGUGGCUUGAGUCUGGGGCUACAACUCUAGAGACCAGGGUUCAAUUCCCAGAUCAGACU